CUCGUUGGUGCCAGAGUGUCCUGUCUGCGCGGUAGGUUGGCGAUUUCAGGCGGCGGGGUGCACCUGCCGAGGAGCAGCUUGAGAAAAAGUUGGAGCGGAAAAUAACCUGGAUUUCUGCAGGCUUACUUUAAGGCUGGUCACUUCUGCAAGGAAGGAAAGGAGGAAGACACUGGCUCAAUUCUCUACAGUUUCCUUGUCCAUGGGAUGGCCUGCUGUCUUCUCUAGGGUGUAACUGGUACCACGGGAACAAA